CCUACGGGUGGCUGCAGUGAGGAAUUUUCGUCAAUGGGGGCAACCCUGAACGAGCAACGCCGCGUGCAGGAUGACACUUUUCGGAGCGUAAACUGCUUUUCUUCAGAAAGAGCAAGGACGGUACUGAAGGAAUAAGCCCCGGCUAACUACGUGCCAGCAGCCGCGGUAAUACGUAGGGGGCAAGCGUUGUCCGGAGUUACUGGGCGUAAAGCGCCCGCAGGCGGUCCUGCAAGUUCAGGCUGACAGUGCCUCGCUUCACGAGGCAAGGUGUCUGAAAACUGCAGGACUUGAGGGAUAGAGAGGGACAUGGAAUUCCGGGUGGAGUGGUGAAAUGCGUAGAUAUCCGGAGGAACACCAAAGGCGAAGGCAAUGUCCUGGCUAUUUCCUGACGCUCAGGGGCGAAAGCUAGGGGAGCGAACGGGAUUAGAUACCCCAGUAGUC
rnacentral:rRNA from 1 species